rnacentral:rRNA from 1 species
GAUGAACGCUGGCGGCGUGCCUAAUACAUGCAAGUCGAGCGAACGGACGAGAAGCUUGCUUCUCUGAUGUUAGCGGCGGACGGGUGAGUAACACGUGGAUAACCUACCUAUAAGACUGGGAUAACUUCGGGAAACCGUAGCUAAUACCGGAUAAUAUUUUGAACCGCACGGUUCAAAAGUGAAAGACGGUCUUGCUGUCACUUAUAGAUGGAUCCGCGCUGCAUUAGCUAGUUGGUAAGGUAACGGCUUACCAAGGCAACGAUGCAUAGCCGACCUGAGAGGGGGACGGGCCCACCUGAAACGGAGACCCGGCCCCGCCUCCUAGGGGGGGCAGCAGUGGGGAAUCUGCCGCAAGGGGCGAAACCCUGACGGAGCAACGCCGGGGGAGUGAUGAAGGUUUUGGGAUCGUAAAACUUUUUUUUUGGGGAAGAAAAUUUGUUAAAGUAACUGGGCCAAUCUGGACGGUCCCAAAUCAAAAAGCCCCGGCUAACUCCGG